rnacentral:rRNA from 1 species
GCGAGAAAACUUUGCAAUGUGCGAAAGCACGACAAGGUUAAUCCGAGUGGUUUCUGCUAAAGAAACCUUUUGUCAGUCCUAGAAACACUAACGAAUAAGGGGUGGGCAAGUUCUGGUGUCAGCCGCCGCGGUAAAACCAGCACCUCAAGUGGUCAGGAUGAUUAUUGGGCCUAAAGCAUCCGUAGCUCGUUUUGUAAGUUUUCGGUUAAAUCCAUACGCUUAACGUAUGGGCUGCCGGGAAUACUGCAUAACUAGGAAGUGGGAGAGGUAGACGGUACUCGGUAGGAAGGGGUAAAAUCCUUUGAUCUAUUGAUGACCACCUGUGGCGAAGGCGGUCUACCAGAACACGUUCGACGGUGAGGGAUGAAAGCUGGGGGAGCAAACCGGAUUAGAUACCCGAGUAGUCCCUGAGCGGGCUGGCAAGGCGCAU